GAUGAACGCUGGCGGCGUGCCUAAUACAUGCAAGUCGAGCGAACGGACGAGAAGCUUGCUUCUCUGAUGUUAGCGGCGGACGGGUGAGUAACACGUGGAUAACCUACCUAUAAGACUGGGAUAACUUCGGGAAACCGGAGCUAAUACCGGAUAAUAUUUUGAACCGCAUGGUUCAAAAGUGAAAGACGGUCUUGCGGUCACUUAUAGAUGGAACCGCGCUGCAUUAGCUAGUUGGUAAGGUAACGGCUUACCAAGGCAACGAUGCAUAGCCGACCUGAGAGAGUGAUCGGCCACACUGGAUCUGAGACACGCUCCAGACUCCUACGGCAGGCAGCUGUAGGGAAUCUUCGGCAUUAGGCGUUAGCCUUACGGAUCUACGCCGCGUGCGUGAUGAAGGUCUUCGGAUCCUACAGCUCUGUUAUUCGGGAGGAACAUAUUUGUAAGUAUCUGUGCACAUCUUGACGGUACCUAAUCAGAAAGCCCCGGCUAACUUCGUG
rnacentral:rRNA from 1 species